UACGACUACAUAUCAGGCAUAUCAAUAAGCGGAGGAAAAGAAACUAACAAGGAUUCCCCUAGUAACGGCGAGUGAAGCGGGAAGAGCUCAAAUUUGAAAUCUUAAAGGGUUUCCCUUUACGAAUUGUAGUUUAAAGAAGUGUUUUCUGUUGGAGUUUCGGUAAAAGUUCUUUGGAAUAGGACAUCAUAGAGGGUGAGAAUCCCGUAUUUGACCGUUACUUUCCAGCUGUGUGAUACACUUUCAAAGAGUCGGAUUGUUUGGGAAUGCAGUCCAAGAUGGGUGGUAAAUUUCAUCUAAAGCUAAAUAUUGGCGAGAGACCGAUAGCGAACAAGUACCGUGAGGGAAAGAUGAAAAGAACUUUGAAAAGAGAGUUAAACAGUACGUGAGAUUGUCAAAAGGGAAGCGUUUGACACCAGUGUUGUUUUUCCGAAAAAUCAAUUACGAAUGGCUUGAUUUUGUGUUGUAUUGACCUUAUCAGCUUUCUGCACUUUUUUCGAGUCUUUCUUAAUGCACUUUUCGGUUAACAAGUCAACAUCAAUUUCUUUUGUUGUAAAAGAGUAUUCGGAAGGUGGCUUUCUUUUCGGAGAAAGUGUUUAUAGCCCUAUACUUCUACAAUCGGAGAGAUUGAGGUCUGCAGCGUAGAUCCUUCGGGGUUAGAUACACUUGUGCUAAGUUGUAGCUUUUCAUAGACAACUUGUUGACUAUGUUUAGUCAUGCGGCUUACUCGCUUGUGCUAUUUUACCUACGCUUAGGAUGUUGAGUAGCGACAUACGCA
rnacentral:rRNA from 1 species